rnacentral:rRNA from 1 species
GAUGAACGCUGACAGCAUGCUUAACACAUGCAAGUCUACUUGAACUUCGGUUUGGGUGGCGGACGGGUGAGUAACGCGUAAAGAACUUGCCUCACAGAUAGGGACAACAUUUGGAAACGAAUGCUAAUACCUGAUAUUAUGAUUUUAGGGCAUCCUAGAAUUAUGAAAGCUAUAUGCACUGUGAGAGAGCUUUGCGUCCCAUUAGCUAGUUGGAGAGGUAACGGCUCACCAAGGCGAUGAUGGGUAGCCGGCCUGAGAGGGUGAUCGGCCACAAGGGGACUGAGGCACGGCCCUUACUCCUACGGGAGGCAGCAGUGGGGAAUAUUGGACAAUGGACCAAGAGUCUGAUCCAGCAAUUCUGUGUGCACGAUGAAGUUUUUCGGAAUGUAAAGUGCUCUCAGUUGGGAAGAAAAAAAUGACGGUACCAACAGAAGAAGUGACGGCUAAAUACGUG